AAGAAAAGGAGUGGCAAACGGGUGAGUACACGUGGGUAACCUGCCCAUCAGAAGGGGAUAACACUUGGAAACAGGUGCUAAUACCGUAUAACAAUCGAAACCGAUGGUUUUGAUUUGAAAGGCGCUUUCGGGUGUCGCUGAUGGAUGGACCCGCGGUGCAUUAGCUAGUUGGUGAGGUAACGGUCACCAAGGCCACGAUGCAUAGCCGACCUGAGAGGGUGAUCGGCCACAUUGGGACUGAGACACGGCCAAACUCCUACGGGAGGCAGCAGUAGGGAAUCUUCGGCAAUGGACGAAAAGUCUGACCGAGCAAGCCGCGUGAGUGAAGAAGGUUUUCGGAUCGUAAAACUCUGUUGUUAGAGAAGAACAAGGAUGAGAGUAACUGUUCAUCCCUUGACGGUAUCUAACCAGAAAGCCACGGUAACUACGUAGCCAGCAGCCGCGGUAANUACGUAGGUGGCCAGCGUUGUCCGGAUAUGGGCGUAACAGCGAAGCGCCAGGCGGUUUCGUUNAAGAGUUCUGAUCGUGGAAAAAGGCCCCCAGGGUUCAACCAGGGGGGAAGGGUCCANUUCGGGAAAACNCUGGGAGAACAACUUUGCA
rnacentral:rRNA from 1 species